rnacentral:tRNA from 1 species
GUGGAUGUAGCUCAGUUGGUUAGAGUGCCUGGUUGUGGCCCAGGAGGUCGGGGGUUCAAGUCCCCUCAUUCACCCCA